rnacentral:rRNA from 1 species
UGAGGAAUAUUGGUCAAAGGGCGCAAGCCUGAACCAGCCAUCCCGCGUGCAGGAAGACGGCCCUAUGGGUUGUAAACUGCUUUUCCAGGGGGAGAAUUUUUCUGUCGUGACAGGAAUUGACGGUACCCUGGGAAUAAGCAUCGGCUAACUCCGUGCCAGCAGCCGCGGUAAUACGGAGGAUGCGAGCGUUAUCCGGAUUUAUUGGGUUUAAAGGGUGCGUAGGCGGAUUGAUAAGUCAGUGGUGAAAACCUGCAGCUUAACUGUAGACUUGCCGUUGAUACUGUCAGUCUUGAGUGUGGUCAAGGUAGGCGGAAUGUGUAAUGGAGCGGUGAAAUGCUUAGAUAUUACACAGAACACCGAUUGCGAAGGCAGCUUACUGGGCCAUUACUGACGCGGAUGCACGAAAGCGUGGGGAUCGAACA